rnacentral:rRNA from 1 species
AACGAACGCUGGCGGCAGGCCUAACACAUGCAAGUCGAGCGCCCCGCAAGGGUAUCGUCGGACGGGUGAGUAACGCGUGGGAAUAUGCCCUUUGCUACGGAAUAGUCUCGGGAAACUGGGGGUAAUACCCUAUACGCCCUUUGGGGGAAAGAUUUAUCGGCGAAGGAUUAGCCCGCGUUGGAUUAGGUAGUUGGUGGGGUAAUGGCCUACCAAGCCGACGAUCCAUAGCUGGUUUGAGAGGAUGAUCAGCCACACUGGGACUGAGACACGGCCCAGACUCCUACGGGAGGCAGCAGUGGGGAAUCUUAGACAAUGGGGGGAACGCUGAUCUAGCCAUGCCGCGUGAGUGAUGAAGGCCUUAGGGUUGUAAAGCUCUUUCAGCUGGGAAGAUAAUGACGGUACCAGCAGAAGAAGCCCCGGCUAACUCCGUG